GUGCUUGCUUCGGGGGCACAUGUACUAAAAUUGGAACAAUACAGAGAAGAUUAGCAUGGCCCUUGCACAAGGAUGACAUGCAAAUUCAAGAAGUGUCUCAUAUUUUC